CUCAUACUCCCUCUGCCCGGAAAUACUUGUUCGAGAAAUGGAUGUAUCUAGACAUAUUUUAAUUUAAAUGCAUUCAUUUGUGUCCAUUUCCAUGAUAAGUAUUUUCGGACGAAGGGAGUAUAAG
rnacentral:pre_miRNA from 1 species